UACGAAGGGGGCUAGCGUUGCUCGGAAUCACUGGGCGUAAAGCGCACGUAGGCGGAUUGCUAAGUCAGGGGUGAAAUCCUGGGAGCUCAACUCCAGAACUGCCUUUGAUACUGGCGAUCUCGAGUCCGGGAGAGGUGAGUGGAACUGCGAGUGUAGAGGUGAAAUUCGUAGAUAUUCGCAAGAACACCAGUGGCGAAGGCGGCUCACUGGCCCGGUACUGACGCUGAGACGCGAAAGCGUGGGGAGCGAACAGG
rnacentral:rRNA from 1 species